GAUAAACGCUGGCGGCGCACAUAAGACAUGCAAGUCGAACGGACUUAACUCAUUCUUUACGAUUGAGAGCGGUUAGUGGCGGACUGGUGAGUAACACGUAAGCAACCUGCCUGUUAGAGGGGAAUAACAGUGAGAAAUCACUGCUAAUACCGCAUAUGCUCACAGUAUCACAUGAUACAGUGAGGAAAGGAGUAAUCCGCUAAUAGAUGGGCUUGCGUCUGAUUAGCUAGUUGGUGGGGUAAUGGCCUACCAAGGCGACGAUCAGUAGCCGGACUGAGAGGUUGAACGGCCACAUUGGGACUGAGACACGGCCCAA
rnacentral:rRNA from 1 species